AGAGUUUGAUCCUGGCUCAGGACGAACGCUGGCGGCGUGCCUAACACAUGCAAGUCGAGCGGAGACAGUGAGUAGCUUGCUACGAACUGUUUCAGCGGCGGACGGGUGAGUAACGCGUGAGCAACCUUUCCCAGACAGGGGAACAACACACCGAAAGGUGUACUAAUACCGCAUAAGACCACGGGAUCACAUGGUUCUGAGGUAAAAGAAUUAUCGGUUUGGGGUGGGCUCGCGUCCGAUUAGGUAGUUGGUGAGGUAACGGCCCACCAAGCCGACGAUCGGUAGCCGACCUGAGAGGGUGAUCGGCCACAUUGGGACUGAGACACGGCCCAAACUCCUACGGGAGGCAGCAGUGGGAAUAUUGGGCAAUGGAGGAAACUCUGACCCAGCAACGCCGCGUGGAGGAAGAAGGUUUUCGGAUCGUAAACUCCUGUCCUUGGAGACGAGUAGAAGACGGUAUCCAAGGAGGAAGCCCCGGCUAACUACGUGCCAGCAGCCGCGGUAAUACGUAGGGGGCAAGCGUUGUCCGGAAUAAUUGGGCGUAAAGGGCGCGUAGGCGGCUCGGUAAGUCUGGAGUGAAAGUCCUGCUUUUAAGGUGGGAAUUGCUUUGGAUACCGUCGGGCUUGAGUGCAGGAGAGGUUAGUGGAAUUCCCAGUGUAGCGGUGAAAUGCGUAGAGAUUGGGAGGAACACCAGUGGCGAAGGCGACUAACUGGACUGUAACUGACGCUGAGGCGCGAAAGUGUGGGGAGCAAACAGGAUUAGAUACCCUGGUAGUCCACACUGUAAACGAUGAAUGCUAGGUGUAGGGGGUAUCGACCCCUUCUGUGCCGCAGUCAACACAAUAAGCAUUCCGCCUGGGGAGUACGGCCGCAAGGUUGAAACUCAAAGGAAUUGACGGGGGCCCGCACAAGCAGCGGAGCAUGUGGUUUAAUUCGACGCAACGCGAAGAACCUUACCAGGUCUUGACAUCCACUUAGACUUACAGAGAUGUAAGGUGUGCUUGCACAAAGUGAGACAGGUGGUGCAUGGUUGUCGUCAGCUCGUGUCGUGAGAUGUUGGGUUAAGUCCCGCAACGAGCGCAACCCUUAUCUUCAGUUACUAACGCGUAAAGGUGAGGACUCUGAAGAGACUGCCGGGGACAACUCGGAGGAAGGUGGGGACGACGUCAAAUCAUCAUGCCCCUUAUGACCUGGGCUACACACGUGCUACAAUGGCCACGACAGAGAGAAGCGAAAUCGCAAGGUAGAGCGGAACUCAAAAAAGUGGUCCCAGUUCGGAUUGUGGGCUGCAACCCGCCCACAUGAAGUCGGAGUUGCUAGUAAUCGCGGAUCAGCAUGCCGCGGUGAAUACGUUCCCGGGCCUUGUACACACCGCCCGUCACACCAUGGGAGUUGGGAGUGCCCAAAGCCGGUGAGGCAACCGCAAGGAGCCAGCCGUCUAAGGCAAGACCAAUGACUGGGGUGAAGUCGAAACAAGGUA
rnacentral:rRNA from 1 species